rnacentral:rRNA from 1 species
AUGUCUUGCUUAUUCACGCGCCAAUACACCUAUGGGUGCUUCUAUUGGGUGACAAUUUUGAGGGACAAUUUGUUGGUGCUUGACACCCCGAAGAUGGAGUUCUCCAUUGCAGAACCCCCACCCGAAGCCAGAGGUAUUCCUGGUGUGGAUAUAGCCAUUGUGGAGGUUAUGCUUGGGAUGUUCGUGUGUGCCGAAGUCACAAAUUACCUUAGCUAUACCAUUAGGCAAAACAACUUUGGGAGUUCCAACCAAUGGCAGUUGGAGAUGACAAUCCCAGUGGAUUCUAGGUACUUGUUCAUGGGCUCAAUGGGAAGGCACUUGUUCCUACAUAGGUCGCGAAAGCCACCGGAUGCACACUGUUUCUCUCUUGACGUCAACACAUUCCAGAUUGAGGGGGUGUUUGUUUCAGAUGUCUGCUACCCCAACGCGCACACAUAUAGCAACUUGCCACCAUCGUUGUUGUCGACACCGACAAUAUCAAGUGGUAAACUUUAUGCUGCAUCCCAGUUUCCCCUUCUGUUCGUAGUUAUCACACAGCUACUCAUAUGUUUGAUACUUCACUAUCGUGUGAGUGCAGAGUUUGGUCGUUGUUACCUUUCAGCUCAGGACAUGCCAGUGAUUUAA